GCCUUGUGCUGGGAGUGAGCCCGAUUGCAAUUGUUGUUUGUCUAAUAAAUAUACUUAUAUGCAGCUCCGGAGUCCUGAGGUAACUAGGGUGAAUUUUCACCUAUCAUAUUUGGGGGCUCGUGACCGGGAUUCCAACAACCUCAACGGCUCUCCACGCUGGGCUAAUCAUCAGGACCUGAAUCAUACGGAGGAGUAUGAGACUCUGUUUUUCUAAAGACCUCCAACUUGAAUUGGAAGGAGGCCAGGGCCUGCCAGCGAGGAGAGCCGAGAGUGAAGGAAUUGAAUUAGACUAUAGGGGUUGGACUCCGAGCUGUUUGUGAGUAUAUUGUUUGUUUGUUGUGUGUGCACGCUAGUAUAGUUUUUUGGGGGGUUGAGACUAACUUUUGUUAAUUUUAACUUGCACUAUUUUUAUUAUUUCUCUGUAAAACUGUUCUAAGGGUACCAUGGCACUGUGUGGCUUCAAUAUAUCACAUGUUAUUCUCACAGAUAUUUCCCUAACGAAUGUUCUAGUCCCCUGGGCGCAGUCACCUUCCUUAAGCCUGUAAAAGAGAGCUAGUGUCUCUCCCGAAGCCCUGAAGCGCGUCCGGUGGAAGAAGACGAGAAGGCCUCUGAAGGAAGGGUAUAGAAGGAAGGGUGGCCUCUGGGCGCAGAAACAUAGCUAGGGAAAAUAUUUAACAGGGUAAGGCGGAUUCUAUGAAGCAGCACUAUGGUUCUGACUGAGCUUAAGACCAUGCAGAAGGGUUUUAUUACUUUAAUUAUUUGUAUUCCUUUUAUCAUGAUUUUAGUAAUCCAAGAAAACUAUCGGAACAUCAGGUUCUGAUACGAUGUUGAUAAUUUUUUUUUACUCCAUGUAUUGCUCUUGCUGCUUGCUUUUAUUGAUUUUAUGUAAAGCAACUGCAACAACCAUCUGACACACACACAUGCAAAAGACCCGGGUUUCAUUGGAAAAUCACAAAGCAGACAAGGCCACUAACCAGGCCGGACUGCAACAACCAUCUGACACACACAUGCAAAAGACCCGGUUUCAUUGGAAAACCACAAAGCAGACAAGGCCACAAACCAGGUUGCACUACAACCAUCUGACACGUACACAAUUGAAGAAUUAGAUCUCACAAUAUUAAAAGAUAUGCUGCAAUAUUGAGCCAUGGUGAAAACAUGCCUCAAUAAGUGGGGAUAGUAAGCAUAUAUUUGUACGUUAUAUUUCAUGAGAAAGAUGUUUAAUCAUUCAUUAUUGAUUUUAUUGAGUUAAAUCCCAACGAAAGAAAGAAAUAUUGUCUAGCCAUAGACAAUCACUGUUCAUUCAACCCCCAGUCAGCCGGACUGGUAGAAAAGAAUGAACCAAACUAUUCAAAGCGAUUUGAGAAUCCAAGAGUGAAAUUAGUGAUAUUAAGCAUGCAUGUUGUUAUCACUGUUUGAAAUGAUGUAUGGAAGAAUCUACACUGCCUAAACUCUCAAACCAUUUGCUGAAACAGACUAAGAGAUUGAAUAUACAUUUGCAGAAUAUAUGGCAAAAAUGUGAAUUAGCAAAAUGCUCUCAGAACUCUCUGUGCUCCGCAGGAACCUGUGAGGCUGAAACCAAGGUUGGGUCGGGAGAUUGGGUCCUAAUCAACAGCCUCAAAAGAAAACACUGCCACUUGCCCAAGUGGGACAGACCAUACAAAGUGCUACUGUCAACAUCUACCACAGUCAAAAUAGCGGAGAGAGCCACCUGGAUACAUCUAACACCAGAGUUCAAGGCAGGAAUCGCGCACCACAAUGCUCACUGCAGUGGUGGAUGCUGCAUAGAGUGGAUGAUGGAGUCGAUGCAAGGCGCCAGUAUGGUGCCGAGUCACGAGAGAUAGAUAUGGAGGAAGAUGAUAGUGCGGACUACCAACAAGCUGCGGAUCACCAACAAGCUGAAGCACCGAACUUUCCGCCAGUUGAAAUGAAAGAAGAUGAAGAAAACCUGUGGCCACAUCUCAGCAAGCAGUUUGCCUUCCAACGUAAAAGAGGCAACAGCUAUAUGCUGUGUAAACUGUGCCUAAUCCGUCAGUCAGAACUUUCUGCUUAUACAAAUUCAUCUUCAAAUCUGCGCAAGCAUGUGUUGGUCUAGUCUAUGUCAGACAACACCUUGACCGGAUGUUGGAGGCUGGAGCAAGUUGGACAACAUUCAUCAGAUGAAGAUGAUUUAUUUUCCUCAAUGAAGUCCAGAAGGUCAGAAGGUACAGGGGAGUUAGAAGGGUACCUAGCCUGUGUCUCAGUCAAUAUGGAUCUGCUGAACGCCUUUCAGAAUAUCAAAAAACUGUCCCUGAAACUCAAUACUGGCCUACCUGC
ensembl:lncRNA